rnacentral:rRNA from 1 species
GCCAGACUCCUACGGGAGGCAGCAGUGGGGAAUAUUGCACAAUGGGGGAAACCCUGAUGCAGCGACGCCGCGUGAGCGAUGAAGUAUUUCGGUAUGUAAAGCUCUCUCAGCAGGGAAGAAAAUGACGGUACCUGACUAAGAAGCCCCGGCUAACUACGUGCCAGCAGCCGCGGUAAUACGUAGGGGGCAAGCGUUAUCCGGAUUUACUGGGUGUAAAGGGAGCGUAGACGGCGGUGCAAGCCAGAUGUGAAAGCCCGGGGCUCAACCUCGGGACUGCAUUUGGAACUGUGCUGCUAGAGUGUCGGAGAGGCAGGCGGAAUUCCUAGUGUAGCGGUGAAAUGCGUAGAUAUCAGGAGGAACACCGGUGGCGAAGGCGGCCUGCUGGACUGCGACUGACGUUGAGGCCCGAAAGCGUGGGUAGCGAACGGGAUUAGAUACCCCAGUA